rnacentral:rRNA from 1 species
UACGGGGGGGGCAAGCGUUGUUCGGAAUUACUGGGCGUAAAGGGCUCGUAGGCGGCCAACUAAGUCAGACGUGAAAUCCCUCGGCUUAACCGGGGAACUGCGUCUGAUACUGGAUGGCUUGAGUUCGGGAGAGGGAUGCGGAAUUCCAGGUGUAGCGGUGAAAUGCGUAGAUAUCUGGAGGAACACCGGUGGCGAAGGCGGCAUCCUGGACCGACACUGACGCUGAGGCGCGAAAGCUAGGGGAGCAAACAGGG